GUAGGUGGCAAGCGUUGUCCGGAUUUACUGGGCGUAAAGAGCGCGCAGGCGGUCGAUUUAGUCGCGUGUGAAAGCCCCCGGCUCAACUGGGGAGGGUCACGCGAUACUGAUCGACUCGAAGGCAGGAGAGGGUAGUGGAAUUCCCGGUGUAGUGGUGAAAUGCGUAGAUAUCGGGAGGAACACCAGUGGCGAAGGCGACUACCUGGCCUGUUCUUGACGCUGAGGCGCGAAAGCUAGGGGAGCAAACGGGAUUAGAUACCCCGGUAGUCCUAGCCGUAAACGAUGGACACUAGGUGUUGGUGGUAUCAACCCCGCCAGUGCCGAAGCUAACGCAUUAAGUGUCCCGCCUGGGGAGUACGGCCGCAAGGCUA
rnacentral:rRNA from 1 species